GUAUCUUUGGGCCCGGCUCUUGUCUAUGUUCCUUGGAACAGGACGUCACAGAGGGUGAGAAUCCCGUGCGAUGAGAUGACCCGGGUCUGUGUAAAGUUCCUUCGACGAGUCGAGUUGUUUGGGAAUGCAGCUCUAAGUGGGUGGUAAAUUCCAUCUAAAGCUAAAUAUUGGCGAGAGACCGAUAGCGAACAAGUACAGUGAUGGAAAGAUGAAAAGAACUUUGAAAAGAGAGUGAAAAAGUACGUGAAAUUGUUGAAAGGGAAGGGCUUGAGAUCAGACUUGGUAUUUUGCAUGCUGCUCUCUCGGGGGCGGCCGCUGCGGUUUACCGGGCCAGCAUCGGUUUGGAGCGGCAGGAUAAUGGCGGAGGAAUGUGGCACGGCUUCUGCUGUGUGUUAUAGCCUCUGACGAUACUGCCAGCCUAGACCGAGGACUGCGGUUUUUACCUAGGAUGUUGGCAUAAUGAUCUUAAGUCGCCCGUCUUGAAACACGGACCAAGGAGUCUAACGUCUAUGCGAGUGUUUGGGUGUAAAACCCGUACGCGUAAUGAAAGUGAACGAAGGUGGGGGCCCAUUAGGGUGCACCAUCGACCGAUCCUGAUGUGUUCGGAUGGAUUUGAGUAAGAGCAUAGCUGUUGGGACCCGAAAGAUGGUGAACUAUGCCUGAAUAGGGUGAAGCCAGAGGAAACUCUGGUGGAGGCUCGUAGCGGUUCUGACGU
rnacentral:rRNA from 1 species